rnacentral:rRNA from 1 species
UACAGAGGGGGCAAGCGUUAUUCGGAAUUAUUGGGCGUAAAGGGCGCGUAGGCGGCCUCGUAAGUCGAAGGUGAAAUCCCCGAGCUUAACUCGGGAACUGCCUUCGAUACUGCUUGGCUUGAGUCCGGGAGGGGAGAGCGGAAUUCCCCAGUGUAGCGGUGAAAUGCGUAGAUAUUGGGAGGAACAUCGGUGGCGAAGGCGACUACCUGGACUGAUACUGACACUGAGGUGCGAAAGCGUGGGGGGCAAACAGGAUUAGAAACCCCGGUAGU